AAUAGAUACCCCGGUAGUCCACGCCGUAAACGAUGAGUGCUAAGUGUUAGAGGGUUUCCGCCCUUUAGUGCUGCAGCAAACGCAUUAAGCACUCCGCCUUGGGAGUACGGUCGCAAGACUGAAACUCAAAGGAAUUGACGGGGCCCGCACAAGCGGUGGAGCAUGUGGUUUAAUUCGAAGCAACGCGAAGAACCUUACCAGGUCUUGACAUCCUCUGACACUCCUAGAGAUAGGAAUUUCCCCUUCGGGGGACAGAGUGACAGGUGGUGCAUGGUUGUCGUCAGCUCGUGUCGUGAGAUGUUGGGUUAAGUCCCGCAACGAGCGCAACCCUUGAUCUUAGUUGCCAGCAUUCAGUUGGGCACUCUAAGGUGACUGCCGGUGACAAACCGGAGGAAGGUGGGGAUGACGUCAAAUCAUCAUGCCCCUUAUGACCUGGGCUACACACGUGCUACAAUGGAUGGUACAAAGGGCAGCGAAACCGCGAGGUUAAGCCAAUCCCAUAAAACCAUUCUCAGUUCGGAUUGCAGGCUG
rnacentral:rRNA from 1 species